rnacentral:rRNA from 1 species
UGAGCAAUCUGCCCUUCUCUUUGGAAUAAGCGUUGGAAACGACGUCUAAUGCCGAAUACGACCUCCUUUCGCAUGAUCGGAGGUGGAAAGCUCCGGCGGAGAAAGAUGAGCUCGCGGCCUAUCAGCUAGUUGGUGGGGUAAUGGCUCACCAAGGCGACGACGGGUAGCCGGCCUGAGAGGGUGACCGGCCACACUGGGACUGAGACACGGCCCAGACCUCCGUACGGGGAGG